AAUCUUGCUGUCUUGCAUAAGUGCCUGGAAAAACAGAGUAUCUUAUUAUUAUUCAUGCAUUAUCACCAGUGCCCCUGUCUAUAGUAGGGACCCUUAGAGUACACAUGCCAUUUGUCAUUUGGAAUCCCAAACUGACCAUUGCCAUUGGCCCUAGGACAGUUUCAUUGGAAGGACUUCAACUAUAAAGGCAAGCAAUUAUUUGACAUUGAUUAUUUUAUAGACAGGUAAGCUGAUAUGGGGAAGGUCAAAUGACCUUUUCAUGUUUAGGUAACUUUGCUACCUAUUAGGGGUAGAACACAGCUGCUCUCUAGUUUUAAGGAUAACAUGUCUAUGUAACGUCAAUCUAGAAAUAGAAUGAUUCUUUCAAAACUCAACCUUCCAAAGAUGAGAAAUCCAUUUCCUGUCUAAUCUCACUUGGUUUCCUCAUUGUGGUUUGUAACAUUUAGUUAACAAACCAUUUUUAAAGUUUUUUUCUCAGUUUAUAGUUAGUUUUCUCAAAUUGAUUUUAAACUUUUCAGAGUUGUGAUUCUCAUCUAUCUUUGUAAGUAUGAGAUCAAAGACACUACUGUAAUAGCUGUAAGAGGAGUCAGCGUAGUGAUAGACAUUUCUAAUCAAGAGCCCAGGAGGCUAAAGCAAUAAGAUCACAUGUUGGUAGGUGGCCUGCACCAGGUGGAGAGGACUUUCUUCCAAAAGCAUAUUUACAUGUUGUAAGUAUGUAUAAAAGAUUUAAGAAUUUUCUUUCCAACCUGCAUUAGAUUUCUAGAUUUCUGUUAUUGUUGUUAAUAUAGAUGGUUUGUCUUGUAGAAAAUAACAUAACUUCAUGACCAGAAUUUAAACAAGUAAUCUUUCUGGCUUCAGUUUUCUCAUUAUAACAUGUGGAUGGCACUGUGGGCCCCAUAAGGAGAGUAGCUAUAGGGGAGAGAACAUGCCUGCUGCAUGUGGCCUCCCCAGGAUCUUGAUUUCUACUUAUCUCCAGGUCACCUUUUUUUCCCCUUCUAAUACUUCCAACCCAUUUUUGGAACACAGAGACUUUUUCCAUUAAAUAAGCAUAUUUUAGAAGGACAAACAUCAAUGAAAACAGUGGAGUUAAAAAAAAAAAUGAGUUAAAAACCGAAAACCUCACAAAAUUUGAGUUAAAAAAAAAAGGAAAUAUCACAAAAUUUAGGAUUCUUAAGUAAGAUUGUAUACUUGUGUUUGUUCCUAAAAGAAAGAAGAUGCAAUUCAGAUCUUAAGGUUGGGGCUGGAGAGAUGGCUCAGCAGUUAAGAAUAACUGCUGCUUUCCCAGAGGACCAGAGUUCAGUUCUCGACACCCAUAUUGAGCAGCUUGUAACUUCUCAUAAUUCUAGAUCCAGUGGCUAAACCCUGGAGUAGCAUGCUUGAAUACUAGGGCUGAUUCUCAAACCCAGAAACUCAUACUCAUCCUCAACAACUAUAACAAACGGCACAGUGGAUUCCAGUUACAUUGGCUACAUGUAAAAGAGUAGCAAUAUUUAUGUUUUUAAAUAUAUUAGAUUUUUCAGGUAUGAAAAUGAAUAGCUUUUUGCAGGCAAAUAGACGAGUUUAUAAACAAUGGAUACAUGAAAUGCAGUGGCACCAAAAUCUGCAUGCAAUUUUUAUAGAUGCAGAAUGAAUGACUUUCAGAAUCAUAGGAAGCAACGGAUUACUGCAUGUAACCAAAAUAACCUUAGAAAAGAAUAAAGUUAGGUAUGUCAUUCUGAUAUUAAAGUGUAUGACAAAGCUGCAGUAGUUAAAACGGUAUGACAAUGGUGUAAAGACAAACAUAAAAUUCAACAGGACA